rnacentral:rRNA from 1 species
UACGUAGGGGGGCUAGCGUUGUCCGGAAUCAUUGGGCGUAAAGAGCGCGUAGGCGGUCCGGUAAGUCCGCUGUGAAAGUCGAGGGCUCAACCCUCGAAUGCCGGUGGAUACUGUCGGGCUUGAGUACGGGAGAGGCGAGUGGAAUUCCUGGUGUAGCGGUGAAAUGCGCAGAUAUCAGGAGGAACACCGAUUGCGAAGGCAGCUCGCUGGAACGUUACUGACGCUGAGACGCGAAAGCGUGGGGAGCAAACAGG